rnacentral:rRNA from 1 species
AUUGAACGCCGGAGGCAGGCCUAACACAUGCAAGUCGAAUGAGUUUCGGACGGGUGAGUAAUGUCUGGGAAACUGCCCGAUGGAGGGGGAUAACUACUGGACACGGUAGCUAAUACCGCCUACCAUCGGAUGUGCCCAGAUGGGAUUAGCUAGUAGGGGGGGUAACGGCUCACCUAGGCGACGAUCCCUAGCUGGUCUGAGAGGAUGACCAGCCACACUGGAACUGAGACACGGUCCAGACUCCUACGGGAGGCAGCAGUGGGGAAUAUUGAACAAUGGGCGCAAGCCUGAUGCAGCCAUGCCGCGUGUAUGAAGAAGGCCUUCGGGUUGUAAAGUACUUUCAGCGAGGAGGCGUUACUCGCAGAAGAAGCACCGGCUAACUCCGUGCCAGCAGCCGCGGUAAUAC